AUCAGGGGUAAACCUGUGGAACUCGAACGAUUGAACGGGGAGAUUCAUCGCUCUUCCGUCGGGGUCCGCGCCGUCGACGCGCGUCGGCGGAGAUUUCGGUCUCCGAUCGGCGCGAGUCGGCGGCGCAGUCGAGGCCCUCGGAGUGCGCGCACUUCUCCCUCAGUAUAACACCGCGACCCGUCGACGGCGGGGUCGAACGCGUCGUGCGGUUGUCCCGUCGGUUCGGUUUCGCGAUCGAACCGGCGGAGCCGCGACGUCGCGGCCCCCCGUUUCGACGGUAAAACACGAGGAUCCGAUCCGCCUCUUCGUGAGGCGUCCGUGACGCGACGGCGGCUCUCCCCGCUCGGACCUCGGCGCCUCGCGCGUCGUCUGGCUCCGGGCGUCGGUAAAACGUCAGGGAGUCGCAUUUCACGCCGCGUCGUCUCGGACGGGAGUUCGGUCCCGGUCAGCGGUGGUUUUGUUUCGGGCACUCACAGGACCCGUCUUGAA
rnacentral:rRNA from 1 species